rnacentral:rRNA from 1 species
UACGGAGGGUGCAAACGUUGCUCGGAAUCAUUGGGCGUAAAGCGUGCGUAGGCGGUUCGUUAAGUCUGUUGUGAAAGCCCCGGGCUCAACCUGGGAAUGGCAAUGGAUACUGGCGAGCUAGAGUGUGUCAGAGGAUGGUGGAAUUCCCGGUGUAGCGGUGAAAUGCGUAGAGAUCGGGAGGAACAUCAGUGGACGAAGGCGGCCAUCUGGGACAACACUGACGCUGAGGCACGAAAGCGUGGGGAGCAAACAGG